rnacentral:rRNA from 1 species
UACGAGUGCCCCAAGCGUUAUCCGGAAUCAUUGGGCGUAAAGGGUGUGUAGGUGGCGAUGUUAGUCUCCUGUCAAAGCCCCGGGCUUAACCCGGGACCUGCAGGGGAAACGGCAUCGCUCGAGGAUGCGAGGGGUGAAUGGAACUCAUGGAGUAGGGGUGAAAUCCGUUGAUAUCAUGGGGAACACCAAAAGCGAAGGCAAUUCACUGGCGCAUUCCUGACACUGAAACACGAAAGCGUGGGUAGCGAACGGG